CCCCAUGUUUCUCUGUGCCCUUCUGACCUUCCACCCCCACCACAGGUGCCAGGUGCCCGGUGCCCCAGGGUCUUCCUGGCAGCAUGGUCUGGAAUAGCCUAACCGAGCCUGGAGGACAGGGCUCCGCUGGACUCAUGCUGCGCUCAUGUCUUGAAAGUGCCAAAGGCCUUGGGUCUCCUUAGACUAAACUUGGGCAUCACGAUUUUCUUGUCCUCCUGUGACUGAACAGAGAAUUUUGGUGCAAAUCGUGGCCCCUGGACUAGAGUCAGGAAGGACAGCAGGUGGUCGCCAUACUUCCAAGCUUGAGCCCAGAACCCCUCUAAAUAUAAAAUGUUCCAGGAGUUCCCGUCGUGGAGCAGGAUCGAACCUGCAUCCUCAUGGAUACUAGUCAGAUUCAUUUCUGCUGAGCCACAUUGGGAACUCUUGAAUUUCAGUCUUUAAAGGGAGCCCAUGAGAGGAGUUCCCACUGUGGCACAGUGGGAAGUGCAGAUUCGAUUCCUAGCUCGGUGCAGUGGGUUAAAACAUCUGGAGUUGCUGCAGCUCCAGUAUAAAUUGCAGCCGCGGCUCCGAUUCAGUCCCUUGCCCAGGAACUUCCAUGUGCUGUGGGUGCGGCCAGAAAAAAAGGGGGAAACCCAUGGGAAAGGACUUCACCAGACUUAAGAGUUCAGUCCAAAAAGACGUGUCUGUAAUAGGCACUCAGAGGGGUAAUUCCCAGCCUCUCUUCUGGGGAAAUGAGCUUGGCAGGACAGUGUUCAGUAAAUCAAGUAAAGGCAGUUAUUUUUCAUGGCAAAGGUGCUGACAGAAGGCCAUUACUGCAGCCUGGCCUGGAUUUCAAACAUACUGGACCCCUUGGGACUCAGGUCAUGGUCAUACUUUAGAGUCCAUCCACUAAUGUCAGGCUGUCCUUUGGGGAAAGCUUGAUUUAGGUUUUGCAGGCUUUAUCUCAUAAUGGUGUGUGCAUGUUGGGGGAAGGUGCUCGAAGGGGGGUGUCCAAGGCCUAAGCCCUCUCAUCCUCCAGUAGACCCCUGUUCUUUCAACAGAGGAUUCGCUCCCCCCAAUCUCAGAAGGGCAGCUGUUCUCAGGUUCCUGCCGUAAAAUCUUUUCCCCACUUCUCAACCUCACAAUAGGUUCAGUCCUUAACUUUUUUGGGGUCUUUUUUUGUCUUUCUAGGGCCACACCUACAGGAUAUGGAGGUUCCCAGACUAGGGGUCUAAUCAGAGCUGUAGCCGCUGGCCUAUUCCACAGCCACAGCAACUUGAGAGCUAAACCACAGGUCAUGGCAAUGCUGGAUCCUUAACCCACUGAGCAAGGGCAGGGAUCGAACCUGCAACCUCAUGGUUCCUAGUUGGAUUUGUUUCCACUGCGCCAUGACAGGAACUCCCAGCCCCGAACUUGGAGCCUUGUACUCAUGCACAGACUGCCUUCUGAUGAGUGGAACUUGGGAAACUGGAGCUCUAUCCACCAUCAGAGACCCACAAAUGUCCGUUUGUCACUGUGGAAAGGGAUAAUGAUGGCAAUGAUGAAUGACAUUCCUGUUCUUCAGGCUGGAGAUAAGUUAACACAUGAAUGAACACUGGAAUCUGUCUGAGGUUCAGCAUAUUUCACUGAACUGACCUCAUCUCUAUCUUAUACCUCGGAACUGGGAGUUUGGAAGGCAAGACAGCCACACUAAUCAAUCACAGAAUGUCCCUUUAAUGUGUAGAUUUGUUUGAUUUAAAAAAAAACAAAACUAUAUAAUCAGAGUUCCCAUUGUGGCGCAGCAGAAAUGAAAGUGACUAGGAUCCAUGAGGUUGUGGGUUUGAUCCUGGCCUUCCUCAGUGGGUUGGGGAUCUGGUGUUGCCAUGAGCUGUAGUGUAGGUCACAGACCUGGCUCUGAUCUAGCAUUGCUGUGGUUGUGGCGUAGGCUGGCAGCUGUAGCUCUGAUUUGACCCCUAGCCUGGGAACAUGCCUAUUCGGCCUUAAAAAUACAAACAAACAAAUAAAAAAUCAUGAUCUGGGAACAGCAAAAAAAAAAAUAAAAAUAAAAAUAAAAAUUUUUUUUUAAUUCUUAGAAUGGUAAAAUUUUAAGGUUCUUCUCGUUAGAGGAGAAAAAAUCGAUGCAGAAGGAGAUGUGGCAAGUGACCGCACCUGCACCUGCUACUGCUGGCCAAAUGCGUGUGCUCAGGAACCUCCUGUCAAUUACCCCUGUUCACCAGGCAAACAGCUAAGAAAGGAGAUCACGUGUAUCUAUGUGAGGCACUAAUAAUACCUCUUUCAAGCAUUUUUUAAGGUUUAUUUUAAAUCAGAUCCCAGAACUAAUUUGGCUCAGAACUUGCUCAUUGAGUUUUGAGUGGAUGGGUGUGUCUCCUUUUUUGUCCCCAUAACUGCCCCAUCAGGCCAUCCUGAAGCAUGUGUGCUCAGCCCUCUCUGCUCUCAAUUCAGGCAGUCUUUCCAUGAAUGUCUCCUCCUUCCUCCAAGACAAGACAUGCAUAUCAGCAUCCCUGUGAUUCCUGAGUGAGUGAGAUCUCUGAGUCUCUGAAUUCUCAGGUUCCCUGUCCCCACAGCUCCCUCUCUCUCCCAGCCUGUUCUUAUCAUGCGUCUAGAACAGCACAGCUUUCUGUAGACAAGACCCCCAGUUCCUCAGCUCAGACUUGCUUGUUAUAGCAUCUGCUUGAUGUGUUUGGGUUCAUGAUCCCUUAUGGAGCAGACUUGGUUUGGGUUUUGUUUUUUGAAUGUUGAUUUUACCCCUAUGCGAACCUCCAGAUAACCUAGAUAUCUGCUACUGGCAUAUUAUGAAAGUACAUGAGUUUAUUUCCAUAAUUUAGGGAUUGUUAGCAUUACUUGAAAAGGAAUUAUUCCUCUGUGAGGGUAUCUGUUUGAUUAGAACUUCCUAGAAAUAGAAGUUGGGUAUGGCCAUAGCACUUACCUGGCUUCCAGUGAGUCUGCUCUUUGGAAUUUUCUGAGUAUCAACACGGUAUUUUGAAUAAGAAACUGAAUUGCUAACCAGUAAGACUAGGUGGGUUUAUUUUUGUUGUUGUUUGUUUUUGUUGUUGUUUUGUUUUUUGCUUUUUAGGACCUCACCCACAGCAUAUGGAAGUUCCCAGGCUAGGGGUUGAAUUGGAACUACAGCUGCUGGCCUACACCACAGCCUCAGCAACACAGGAUCCAAGCUGUGUCUAUGCCUACACUGAAGCUCACAGCGAAGCCAGAUCCUUAACCCACUGAGCAAGGCCAGGGAUCAAACCCACAUCCUCGUAGGUACUAGUCAGGUUGUUACUGCUGAGCCAUAGCAGGAACUCCAGUAAGACUAGGUCUUAAUUCAAUGCUACCACUAGUAGUUGGGUUCCUCUUCUUUAUCUUUUGUAUAAGAUGUUAUAAUGCAAGAUUACUAAUCUUUUUUUAUAUCUUCAAAAUUAAAUACUCAAGUAAUCUCAGACUUUAUAUGAUUUCCAUGAUAAAAAUCUUGAAAAGCUACAUUUUUUGUAAAUGACAAUUGCAGGUACAAAUCUGGGCAAGUUGGACAGACGGUGCUUUGUCUUUGUUUCUUGAACGGCUCAGACGAAGGAAAAGCACGUCAUCAGAACUGCUCUUUCUGCAGAUUUUUGAAGCGGCUCCUUGAGGAGAGCUUGAGGGAUGGGCACUGAAGCACUUGGAAGAGAGUGUUGUUUGAUAAAAGACAGUGGAAGAGAAGUGAUGUUAGCCCCAAGCUGCUGCUCAGUUUUGUUCUCUAUAUGACACAACUAAAACAAGGGAGAAUAAACUGCCAUAUGUCCUCAAGUCUGGGGAAGGAAAAUACAUCGAGACUAGAUAGAAUUCUCAGAGUCCCCUCUCAGAGUGUGUGUUUGUGUGUGUGUGUGUGUGUGUGUGUGUGUGUGUGCACCCACACGUGUGGUAUUUACUGUAAUUACUUAAUUACUUAAUUCUUCAAAACAGGUGACACCUGUUAUUCCCAAGAUUCAUCUUUAAAAUAAUAGGAGGUAGUAAUGAAAAGAGGAGUCUCCAGAUAAGGCUCUUAAUGAUCCUAUCACAUCAUCCUGACAAGUGUUGUGCUCAAAAGCCCAGAAACGUUUGUGGGUCUCCUUUGACUUAUCUGUGUAUUGUUGGUUCAAUUCUCAGGUCAUCGAGUCCCCACACCUUCCAUCCCGCCCCCUUGACUCUGUGCUUCAUUUUAACUUCUCUCUGAAGAGCAGGAGGAUGUACGAGGCAGAGGGCAAAGCUCAGACCAGGCUUUAUCCACUUGCAGAGUUGAUGGGGGAACCAGGUGACUCCAUCAAGCCACACACCAUGGUGUUCUGCAAAGGGCAGAAGAGCAGAAGCCACACAGUGCAUAUGUGGUCCUCGGCUUCCCUUGGAGGGAUGAGGGAAGCAGAGAAGGAAAAGUAAAAUAAAUGCUCUGUCAUGUCACUGAUGCAAGCCAUUGCCAUGCCAUUCUUUGCACUCAUAUGCCCAUAGUUCUUCUCAUUCAUAUUUGACCACUUGGGAAGGGAUAUAGAUAGGAACUAAGAUGUAUGGCCACAGAUGCUGUCUGUUAAAUACAACAUUCUAUUCUAAGUGUCCAUGUUAGAGUUUCAAAGGCAAGACAAAUUAAAAGAAAGAGAUAACAUAAGAGAAGAAAUCCAAAAGAUUAAACUUCCUAUUGGGUGGGUGGGAGGAGGUCUAUGCGUAGACAUCGGUGUGUUUUGUGCUGCUGACAGUAAUUUCUGAGCGAGGAGGGACCAGGCCCUACCUUCCACCCACAGUGCAGUGGGAUCUACUCCCAGAUAGGCUCUUGAUGAAAUUCCAUCAGAUUCUGCAUGUUAAAGGUAGUAUGUGCAUUGCCUGCCAGUUUCUCCUCUUUUUUGAGGAAUGGGUAUAGGUAGAGGAAAUAGAUAUGACACAGGAAGAAAAAAGGUGUCUUCUGGUCUAAACAUAGCCUUGGAUUUGCUGUGGGGUAUGCAGCGGGUCACUGUACCUUCCAGGGCCUUGACUUCCCAAUCAGCAAAAUGAAUGUUAGAUGAGCUGGUGUCAGGAGUCCUUUCAAGGUCUGAAGUCUUCAGACUUCCUUCUGCAUCUUUACAUAGCUCACAUCUGUCUCUGGAAAUAAGACAAAGCCAUGUUGGAAGCUAAGGCAGAGCCUUUGGGCAGUCAUCAGGCAUCUCGGUCCACACUCAGCUAGGAAGGACCCCCAUCUUCUGGGAUGACCUCAAGAUAAGAAAGCCUACCACUCUCAAACCUUUGGAUGUGAGGCUACACUUUGAAAAUUUGAAGAGAAAAAAACAGGCUUGCUCUCAAGACAAGAAAUCCGAAGAGAUACAAGUGCACACAAUGCACUUGGCUGGGGGGCAGGGAGGAUGGGGUCGUUCAGGUGUUUUGUGAGCUAUUUCAAACUCACUAGUGAGCUCUGUGUUUAACAAAUCCUACUGUGAAGUUUCAUGCUGGAUUUUACCUUUACACUACUUACAUUUCUCAAAUAUGCUUGAUAAGAGUUGAGUCCAACAUGCUUUGACUUUUAACUAAGUAAAUAAACAAAUUAAAAACAAGUAAG
ensembl:lncRNA